GACGAACGCUGGCGGCGUGCUUAACACAUGCAAGUCGAACGAAGUGGCGAACGGGUGAGUAACGCGUAAUCAACCGGCCCUUCAGAGGGGGACAACAGUUGGAACCGACUGCUAAUACCGCAUACUGAAGGAGGGGAUUGCGUCUGAUUGGCUAGUUUGGGUGGUAACGGCCCACCAAGGCGAUGAUCAGUAGGCGGGCUGGGAGGGUGAACGAGCAAAAUGGGAACGAGACACCGCCCAGACUCCUACCGGAGGGAACAGGGGGGAAUCUUCCGCAAUGGAGGAAAGGCUGACGGAGCAACGCCGUGGGAUUGAUGGCGGCCUUCGGGUUGUAAAGCUCUGUUAAGCGGGACGCGGUACCGGAAGAGAAAGCCACGGCUAACUACGUGCCAGCAGCCGCGGUAAUUC
rnacentral:rRNA from 1 species